rnacentral:lncRNA from 1 species
AACAAGGCUUAACAGGGUUUACGGACCUUGCAUUGCGAAGCCGGACACUCACAUUCGUCACACACGAAACCGCUCUCAACCGUUUUCACUCUAUCUCUUCUUAUCGAGAAUCUCUCCCAAAUCUCUCUAAGUAUGUGAAAUCUCUCCCAAAUAUCUCUUUGUAUGAGAAAUCUCUCCAAGAAUGUCAAAUCUCUCCCAAAUCUCUCUAAGUAUGUGAAAUCUCUCCCAAAUAUCUCUUUGUAUGAGAAAUCUCUCCAAGAAUGUCAAAUCUCUCCCAAAUCUCUCUAAGUAUGUGAAAUCUCUCCCAAAUAUCUCUUUGUAUGAGAAAUCUCUCCAAGGAUGUCAAAUCUCUCCCAAAUCUCUCUAAGUAUGUGAAAUCUCUCCCAAAUAUCUCUUUGUAUGAUAAAUCUCUCCAAGAAUGUCAAAUCUCUCCCAAUUCUCUCUAAGUAUGUGAAAUCUCUCCCAAAUAUCUCUUUGUAUGAGAAAUCUCUCCAAGAAUGUCAAAUCUCUCCCAAAUCUCUCUAAGUAUGUGAAAUCUCUCCCAAAUCUCUCUCUGAAUGAGAAAUCUCUCCAAGAAUGUCAAAUCUCUCCCAAAUCUCUCUAAGAAUGUGAAAUCUCUCCCAAAUAUCUCUUUGUAUGUGAAAUCUCCCCAAGUAUGUCAAAUCUCUCCCAAAUCUCUCUGAGUAUGUGGAAUCUCUCUCAAAUCUCUCUCGAAAUCUCUCCCAACUCUCUAUAAUCACUCGGGGCAUCCCGACCCUCGAAUUUGGCGAGAACAGCCCAAAAACAGAAGUCUACGCGAAAAACGGGCCUAAGGAACCGAAACCCCUCUUAGGACCCGAAAGUCCUCUUAGGAACCGAAAGUCCCCUUAGGAACCGAACCCUCCUGAUGAAGAAGGCUGCUGAACCGAACCGAACCUCACUCUAAGAACCGAACCCUUCUGAGCCGAAGGCUGCUCAACCGAACCCGAACGUUCGGCACCUUUCGGUUCUGACCAUUUCCUCUUCUGAUGACUAACCGAACCCUCCCUUCUGAUGGCUUGCCGAACCUUCCCUUCUGAGGACCGAGGACCGAGCCCUCGCUUCUGACUUCGGACCGAGCUCCCCGCCCCUUCGUUUCCCUCUGUUCGUUUCCGGCUACAAUCCUCAGCAUGGACCGAGCCUCGGCCUAGGGACCGAACCUCGGCCUAGGACCGAGAGGUCUCGCUGGGAACUCAUUUUCUCCCGGUUUUCGCGUAGUUUUGCGUUUAAGGCCCGUUUUUAAUUAUUUUAACGCGGGAUUUUCACCCAAAAUCAUAUUUUAACAUAAUAAACCCUAAAUAUUCACAAUUUAAUCAUAUUUUCAUAAAAAUCUUUAUUUAAAUAAUAAAAGCAAGUGGGUAAAGUACAAAGAGGUGGAGUGUUGACUUUGCUUUACCUUAUGACACAAGCAACCACUCCCACACCCACUCUAUGACCAGCCACACCUCCCCACCUUACCUAGGUCACAUCAAUGUCCUUUUCACUCAAUCAUCACUCUUUCCCACGUUUUUGAGAGCUGAAUAUUCAUCCUCUCUCCUCACUUCUCUCAUUUGCUCUCAUUUCACAAGAAGAUCAAACUCUUUUCUCUCUCACUUUCUCUCUCUAGAAAUUCGAGAUUUCCAGGGCUGAUCUUGAGUUUUUCCUCCACAUUUGGUAAGCAUAAUCCAUUCUCUUUAUGAUUAUCUCAAUUAUUUCCACUCAAAUCAUGGAUAUCUUACACAAACUCCAUUAUAUUUGUGUUAGAUCUUCGAAUCUUCAAGUGAUUCUUCAAGUGUUCUUGGGUUGAACACUUCUCUUCUUCAACACUUAUCUACUGAAAUCACUCAAGGUGAGUUCAUACCCCUACAUUUUCAUGUUUUCUCAAGUUUUUAGGGGGGGAAUACAAGUUAAAACACCAAGAACAUAACUAAACUUUUCUAACAGCCUUCAUCAGAAAAGUUCAACUCCAUUCACGGACUGUUUUGGACAACUUAAACAUUUUAGUUUUCAAAACUGUUUUAGGUGCAUGUAGUUCCACUUCUUAGCUUUAAAAUGACUACUUGCACAUCUCCAUACGAUUUUUCUACAAUUUAUGGUGAUUUUUACAAAACUGCCUAUCAUUUCAAACAUCAAUCCGGACCAGUCUGUGAUUAUGGACUUUUUCACACAAGUAAGAAGUCAUUAAAAAUUAUAAUAAAAAUUAUGAACAAACUAGACUCAUUUUCCAAACUCUCAGAAGUUACAGAACUUGAUUUGGACAUUUUAUGAUUUUUCUACAAAUUUUCCAAUAACAGUUACAGAAAAUGUUAUUAACAGAAAAACACUAUAAAUUUCAUUUCACCUUGUAACAUGUUGAGCAAGGUAUACAUCAUUAUGUGAUUAUGUGUUGUUGCAAUAUAUGACAAUUUUGUAUUCUUAUAUAGACAUACAUCAGAAAACAAAUGGAUUUAUACCUCCACAAGUAUGGUAAAUAUAUAAAUGAUAUUACAAGGCUAUAUCCAUUAAAAUAUAAACAUUGGUAAAUUAUGACAAGUAAGGCUUAUGCUCACUACCCACACAAAUAAUUAAUAAACUAUAAUAGGUAUAGUUUAGGGUUAUUUUACAUAACAAACACAUGAUUAAAGGUUUUACACAUACAAAAGAGUUAUUACCACUAUGGAUAAUUAUGAUAAACUAUAAUAAGUAUAGUUAAGCCAUUAUACCCCCACAAACGAACACGCUAGUUAUAAUCGGUAUAGUUAUGGCAUAUAUAUAUUACAAACAAAGUGAUAAACUAUAAUAGGUAUAGUUUAUGUUUCAUCUACACUAUGAACUUAAUUACAAGAAAGGAAUUCACCAUCACCACCACUUUUGGUAAACUAUAAUAUGCAUAGUUCAUGUUCACUAGUCACUAUCACUAUUUGAUGAACUAUGAUAUGUAUAGGUUAUAUUCACCAUCACCACCACUUUUGGUAAACUAUAAUAUGCAUAGUUCAUGUUCACUAGUCACUAUCACUAUCCGAUGAACUAUGAUAUGUAUAGUUUAUGUUCACAGUCACUAUUACUAUUUCAUACACUACACUAGGGUUUGGUUCCGGUUUUUGGAUUUAAGUCCACAUUAAAUUUUCGCAUUGUUAGACUUCAACUAUAAUCGUUGAGCGUAUAUGCUUGAGUCAUACAAGAAUUUAGUCUGGAUUGGCUUAGAAUUGGUGGUGCCCGCCUCAUCUCCUGUUCCUCGUUGGGUUGUGGACCUAGGGCAGACCCACUAUAUUCAACGUUUUAUCUAACUUAAAUCUUAUAUAACUUAUAUACGCUGGACGAUUAUAGGGGAAAUCUACGGGUCAAUCUAGGGUUCAUUAACACAUCAUAUAGGAAUAUUCUGUUUACACUUAACUAAGAAAAUAUUGGAUUUUCUGGAAAUCAAACUCUAUCGAUUUUACAAGGAAAACGGUUUCUACUUCAAACAAAACUCUUAUGAACUCACCAACUUAAUUGUUGACACUUUUUCAAAACUACUUGUAUUCUCAGGAAAUCAGUGAAACAGGAAAACUUCAGCGCUUUGAGGAUGGGACGUUAAACCGUCAACAAUUUAUUUUUGUCAUCAUAAUGUAAUUGAUUUUGAAACAUGUAAACAUAUACUUUGGUGUAACUUUUUCAAUUAUAUUUAUGAUGGUUGUAUUUACUUUGAGCACUAUUAUACACGUUGUUGUGAUACUGUACAUGAAGUCCUCCACCCCCGGACGUUUCCGCCAUCCUUGGUUUGGGGGUGUGACAGAUUGGUAUCAGAGCAUUGUUUAUAGUGAACUCAGUAUAUCGAACCACAUAAGAUAUACAAACUAUAAAUACAUUGGGACUGAAAGUCUCUGAUUUAAAGUUUUCAAAGCAACUAUACUUUUAGAAACAAAUAAUUUCUCGGUAAAAGUAGGAGCAUGUGCACACACACUAGGGUCAGUAUCAUGGUGGGAUGGGACAAAAGUGGUGAUUGUUGAACAAUACGAGUAGGCUUGGGGAUGUAUAGUCAGGUCUGGGAAUGACAUAGCCUGAUCAACUAUGUCUCACCCAGAAGUGAUUAGCAUAUGCCCAGGAAUGGUCGUAGGUGUUGCAACAAGUCUAAAAACUUACCAACACUACCACAAUGAAAUACCAUAGGGGUAUUUGGUGUUAUUAUAAUUACUUAUUUGAGAACUAAAUAGAUUUUUAUCAAUAGGUCAAUAAUUGCCUAGUGGAUACAUUAAAAUUAUAUGUAUCCAGGACGUCAUAGACUUAGAAUCUGUGGAUCUUUGCUUUACUUCCUGUUCUCGUUGGAUUGGGGAUUUAGAGUUAGGAUCGCUUAUUCGAAGGUCUAUCCUGUCCCAAAUACAUAUGACUAGUAUGCACUAAACAAUAUAUUGAAGUACCUGAUAAAGAUCAUCUUAUAAUUAUCUAAUUAGUACGUCUACUUAGUUAUUUCUUAUAUCCCCAUUUCUCGCGAAGAUAUCAUGGCUGAAUUCCAUCCCCACGACGACCCGUACUACCCUAACCACGGCAAUACUGAAUGGCUCGGAGAGGAGCCAGAGAAUGAUUACCGAAUCCCUUUGGAUGGUCACCAAGCUGAAGGCUUUGCUGAUGGUUCUGACUCCGACCCUGAAGUGGAGAACCUACCCUGAUGGCUCUUGUUCCGAAUCCUAUCCCUCGUCCGGUUUUUCAAGGCCCGACGCCUCCUUGGGUAGAAUGCUUGGAAACCUGGAGCGAAGAGCAAGCCCAACCUAUGCCGUUUAGUGGAGACCGAAGCUUCUACGACAUAAGCAAAGGAAGCUCAACAGAUUGAAGUCUUCCAAUCCAGGUCAGUAGAUUUGCCCGAAACAAGAUUUAGGGCAGAACAACUCUCCAUCAUAUCGCAAAGGCUGAUGCAAAUUCAAGAAUGCAUACAAUCCGAACCAAUCGCCUUGAGCACACUUGUGAAAAAUCUAAGAGAGACCAUGAAACCCGGCUGCAAGCACUGGCUGAAACACGAACCGAAGUCAUAGAACUCCGAGUACGCUAGAGGGUGUAUGAAAGGCACAUGCUUGAUAUGGAGCGGAAACUAGCUGAACUGAAGGUUCACCAUAAGGAUGACCGCCGCCAGUAGUAGAUGCCUUACUUUCUUUCCCUGUUUAAAAAAAAAUCGUUUUUCCUAUCUAUGUCCUAUGCGGCAUUCUCUAUGAAACUAUCUUGUACUGUAAGUACUUUUAGUUAGGCCUUUAGGCGGCCAAAACUCUCCUGCUCCGGAUGUGAUGUAAGACCCUCUACAAAGUCAAUUUUCCCAAGCCUGUUACAUCUUAAACAUCAAUGACGUUGCCAAUCAGAUAAAUUCUAUGACACUCUUUGUUCAAAUACUUCCAUAGGAGUCUAUCUGAAACCCACUUUAGUCAAGUUGUUGGACUAGAGUAAUUUAGCUCCGGGAUCGUUCCCAAUUCUCUUUCCAAGGUUGGAUCAUGUUAUUCACCAACCAAUAGAACCCGGUUUUGAACGACAAACGUCAUGAGACCAUUCUACGAACUUACUUCUACUCCGUAAUAGGACUGCAUCAUAGGGAUGUAGGUCAAACCUUCGAGAACAUACUUCUACUCUAUAGGUGAACGGUCGAAAUACAUCUAGGUUCAAUGAUAGCCCUGACUAGGAACUCUAGUUCAUUAAGAAGGAUUACUAAGAAUGUUAUUUGUUAUGAUUUCCUCACUUAUACAUUCCCCAGUUAUAUAUAACGAAGACCUGGUAGACAAUAGAAUGUGAGAUUUCUAACUUAGUUUCUUUUCCUCGUUGGGAUGUGAAACUGAAGUAGAAUCACACAUUUUACUAUCCGCCCAGUCUUGGUUAUAUCAUAAUGUGUAUAAGCUAAGUUUUCGUGUAUGAUAACUUAUCUCUUAGUCAGAAUCAAAAUAAUACAGAGCCAACCUUAGUCACUCACAAACUCCUUGUCUUUCGUGUUGCAGAAUCAUGUCAUCAUCCGGAAAUAGUCAACUGAACAAUGAAUCCCCUAUCCUUCAUAUCGACGCCGCUACAUUUCAAGCCGCGGUAACAGCUGUUGUGGCAGCUGUCCUUACAAACCUCAACACUGGCAAUGCAAUCACGACUGACAAAGGAAUUGAAAAUUUCGAUUGUUGUAUCAAUCCAGGAAGCCAACAAAGGGCAACAGUCAUGGACGUACAAAGUCGUAAAACCGAGAAGAGGAAACGAAAUCGUCGAGCUCGAAAGGAGCGUCAACGAUCCCAAAGACUUGCCAUGCAACAGCAACAAGUGGCAACUCCUGCCCCUUCAGCACCGGCACAACCAAUUUCUUAAGUACCCGACAUCGGGACAAACUCUGCACAUAAAGGUGGUGGUAAAACCGGCCCCCAUAAAAGGAAAGUUUUGAAGUGGAUGAACGAGGAGGGCACCCGUGUCCACGUAACUCUGACUAAACACCUCACUUCCACCACCAAUGCUAGUGCAAGCCUGAUAUGUCACCAAUGCGGCGAGAUUGGACACCUCAGAAAGGACUGUCCAAUCAUAAAGAACUCCGGCGCAGAUGGGAGGAUACUAAGGAUCACUGCCGCAAGAGAAACUACUCCGGACCUCGUUAAGAAUAUCUAAAGCAUUUGUUGUAUCAGACUCAUAAACUGCUUAAAACUAGUGCAACUAGAGUCUUAUCUUUUGUGAGACCCCGUCAGUGAAGGGACCCUCGUGUUGCGUAUACUUGUCUUUUGUAGUAUACUUAGUUUGCAACAAUAGUCUUGUAGUAAAUCUAUAGUACUAUAACUCUGUUAAAAGUUGCACAGUGGUGUCUUGUCUGUAACGCCUUUAUGAUUAAAUCUAGUGCCUUUAUUACCAAGUGACUUCGAUUAUUUUUUUUAUCAUACGACUAGAAUGCCAACCAAGGACAUGGAUUUANAACUCUAGUUCAUUAAGAAGGAUUACUAAGAAUGUUAUUUGUUAUGAUUUCCUCACUUAUACAUUCCCCAGUUAUAUAUAACGAAGACCUGGUAGACAAUAGAAUGUGAGAUUUCUAACUUAGUUUCUUUUCCUCGUUGGGAUGUGAAACUGAAGUAGAAUCACACAUUUUACUAUCCGCCCAGUCUUGGUUAUAUCAUAAUGUGUAUAAGCUAAGUUUUCGUGUAUNUUCAAAGUCAACUGAAGUCAACAAGUCAAACCGGUCAACUCAACUAACCCUUGUGUACUAGCGCUUACGUUAUGUAAUUACUAAACAGCUCACUAUUCUAAUAAGGGAUCAUAAAUCGAAAAGUACGUACAUCUAGAUCUCCUUAACCUAAAACUGUGGUGAGUGACGAGCCAAACCGAUAAUACAAUGUUGCAUACUCAUCGGGAGUGUGUAAGAUCCUUAAGCAAGNCAUAUCGACACCGCUACAUUUCUAGCCGCAGUAACAGCUGCUGUGGCAGCUGUCCUUAUAAACCUCAACACUGGCAACGUAAUCACGACUGACAAAGGAAUUGAAAAUUUCGAUGGUUGUAUCAAUCCAGGAAGCCAACAAAGGGCAACAGUCAUGGACGUACAAAGUCGUAAAACCGAGAAGAGGAAACGAAAUCGUCGAGCUCGAAAGGAGCGUCAAUGAUCCUAAAGACUUGCCAUGAAACAACAACAAGUGGCAACUCCUGCCCCUUCAGCACCGGCACAACCAAUUUCUCAAGUACCCGGCAUCGGGACAAACUCUGCACACAAAGGUGGUGGUAAAACCGGCCCCCAUAAAAGGAAAGUUUCGAAGUGGAUGAACGAGGAGGGCACCCGUGUCCACGUAACUCUGACUAAACCCCUCACUUCCCCCACCAAUGCUAGUGCAAGCCAGAUAUGUCACCAAUGCGGCGAGAUUGGACACCUCAGAAAGGACUGUCCAAUCAUAAAGAACUCCGGCGCAGAUGGAAGGAUACUAAGGAUCACUGCCGCAGGAGAAACUACUUCGGACCUCGUUAAGAAUAUCUAAAGCCUUCGUUGUAUCAGACUCAUAAACUGCUUAAAACCAGUGCAACUAGAGUCUUAUCUUUUGCGAGACCCCGUCAGUGAAGGGACCCUUGUGCUGCGUAUACUUGUCUUUUGUAGUAUACCUAGUUCUCAACAAUAGUCUUGUAGUAAAUCUAUAGUACUAUAACUCUGUUUAAAGUUGCACAGUGGUGUCUUGUCUGUAACGCCUUUAUGAUCAAAUCUAGUGCCUUUAUUACCAAGUGACUUCGAUUUUUUUUUAUCAUACGACUAGAAUGUUAACCAAGGACCUGGAUUUACUUGAGAGCGUGAGACUCAAUCGAUUAGGAAGAAUCCCCACUUUUUGGCUCGAUUAUUCAUGCGUACUCAUUGUCUAAAUUCAAAUUUCGGGACGAAAUUCCCUCUGACGGGGGAUGAUGUGACAACCGUCAAUUUCCGGUCAAUUCAAAGUCAACUGAAGUCAACAAGUCAAACCGGUCAACUCAACUAACCCUUGUGUACUAGCGCUUACGUUAUGUAAUUACUAAACAGCUCACUAUUCUAAUAAGGGAUCAUAAAUCGAAAAGUACGUACAUCUAGAUCUCCUUAACCUAAAAUAGUGGUAAGUGACGAGCCAAACCGAUAAAACAAUGUUACAUACUCAUCGGGAGUGUGUAAGAUCUUUAAACAAGGCUUAACAGGGUUUACGGACCUUGCAUUGCAAAGCCGGACACUCACAUUCGUCACACACGAAACCGCUCUCAACCGUUUUCACUCUAUCUCUUCUUAUCGAGAAUCUCUCCUAAAUCUCUCUAAGUAUGUGAAAUCUCUCCCAAAUAUCUCUUUGUAUGAGAAAUCUCUCCAAGAAUGUCAAAUCUCUCCCAAAUCUCUCUAAGUAUGUGAAAUCUCUCCCAAAUAUCUCUUUGUAUGAGAAAUCUCUCCAAGAAUGUCAAAUCUCUCCUAAAUCUCUCUAAGUAUGUGAAAUCUCUCCCAAAUAUCUCUUUGUAUGAGAAAUCUCUCCAAGAAUGUCAAAUCUCUCCCAAAUCUCUCUAAGUAUGUGAAAUCUCUCCCAAAUAUCUCUUUGUAUGAGAAAUCUCUCCAAGGAUGUCAAAUCUCUCCCAAAUCUCUCUAAGUAUGUGAAAUCUCUCCCAAAUAUCUCUUUGUAUGAGAAAUCUCUCCAAGAAUGUCAAAUCUCUCCCAAAUCUCUCUAAGUAUGUGAAAUCUCUCCCAAAUAUCUCUUUGUAUGAGAAAUCUCUCCAAGAAUGUCAAAUCUCUCCCAAAUCUCUCUAAGUAUGUGAAAUCUCUCCCACAUAUCUCUUUGUAUGAGAAAUCUCUCCAAGAAUGUCAAAUCUCUCCCAAAUCUCUCUAAGAAUGUGAAAUCUCUCCCAAAUAUCUCUUUGUAUGAGAAAUCUCUCCAAGAAUGUCAAAUCUCUCCCAAAUCUCUCUAAGUAUGUGAAAUCUCUCCCAAAU